AUGGGGCAUCCUGAACAAUUUCCGCUGAAGUAUGUCGCGGUUGGGAAUGAAGAUUGUGACAACACCAAACCAUUUUACCAGGGACAUUACCUCAAGUUCUACAAUGCCAUACGAGAGGCCUAUCCAGAUAUUCAAAUUAUUUCAAACUGCGAUGGCUCAUCUGAGCCACUUGACCAUCCUGUGGAUUUAUAUGAUUUCCAUAUAUAUACCAAUGCCAAUGAUCUUUUUCUCAAGAAAGAUAAGUUUAGCAGGACAUCACGUACUGGGCCUAAGGUAUUCGUUAGUGAGUAUGCUGUUACUGAUGAAGGGGAUGCCGGCAAGGGAAGCCUUCUAGCUUCAUUGGCAGAGGCUGCAUUUCUAAUUGGAUUAGAGAAUAAUAGGCAAUGCCUCCUUCUUUUUUUGAGGUUUUGGGGAACAUCACUAAUGCAAAGGGUUGUCUUUCUAUCUGAUAUCGUCCACAUGGCAUGUUAUGCUCCACUCUUCGUAAAUGAAAACGACCGCCAAUGGAACCCAGAUGCGAUAGUCUUCAACUCCUGGCAACAGUAUGGGACUCCUAGUUACUGGAUGCAGACAUUUUUCGGCGAAUCAAGUGGUGCUGUGAUCCAUCCAGUGAGACUCAAUUCCAGCUACUCUGGUUCAUUGGCAGCAUCUGCAAUUACCUGGCAAGACAAUGAGGAUAUCUUCCUGAGGAUAAAGAUUGUGAACUUUGGGCCGAACGCUGUGAACCUCACAUUAUCUGCAACCGGACUGGAAGCUGGUGUCAAUACGUCAAGAUCAGCUGUCACCGUUCUCACAUCCAACGAUACGUUGGAUGAGAACUCGUUCGAUGACCCACUUAAGGUUAAGCCGGUAAAAAGUGGUCUACCCAGUGCUGCAGAAGAGAUGCAGGCCAUGCUGGUUCCUCACUCUUUCACUUCAUUUGAUCUGGCUCUGGAUGAGUACGGCGAGCUCGUAGCUGACAUGUGA
rnacentral:rRNA from 1 species